UGUCGUACGGGACCUGUACAGCCAAGCACGGACCACUAUACGGACAGAACACGGCCUCACAGCGCCAAUAAUGAUCGAACGAGGCACAGUACAGGGGGACACGCUCUCGCCGGUGCUAUUCAUUAUUUUCCUCGAACCACUCCUCCGAUGGCUCCACGCUGGCGGACGAGGGUACAAGUACGGCUGCCUCCCCGACAGCUUGAACGCCAGGUACCAUGGAAGCUCAGCCGCUUACGCCGACGACCUCGCCGUGAUGACCAACAGCGCACAAGACCUACAAAUACAAUGCGACAAGAUCAGCUUGUACUCGAAAUGGGCGGGCCUACACGUGAAUCACAAAAAAUGCGCAGUGACGGGCAUCCUGCACCACAGGGCAUGGGCCGACCGAGGCCUGAACGGACCCACGUGUGCACGCACCCUCAAGGCAGCCUUGGAUGAAAAAAUAAAAAUCAGCGACCAGUCAGUGCCGUACCUACCCCCCACGGAACCCUACAAGUACCUUGGGGUCCACGUAACACUGACCCUCAACUGGAGCGCACAGAUGUCCCACGUCUGCAAGGCGGUGAGGGACAAGGGCGACCUACUUCAGGGAUCCCUAGCAUCGCCGGACCAAUGUAUCAGAAUCAUACAGACUUGUAUACAAGCGGUAGUGUCAUACAGCUUCCCCACCAUGGCAUACACUCCUAAUGAUAUCAGACUUUUGGAUGCGAUGAUCGCACGCGCAGCACGACGCUGCUACCGCUUGCCCACCAGUUUUCCCACACGCGCCGUGCUGCUACCGGUGGAACAAUAUGGACUCGGCGUUGGGUCCCUGCUACCGAUCUAUGUGCGCAUGGCAGCUCGCGCGCUGGUCCUCUCCCUGAAUGAUGAAGGCCGGCUAGGCGUCGUGACACGAGCCAUGCUUGAGCUGCAGUGUCGUCUGGCGGCCGACACUAGGAUGCACACGUUGAAACGCGAGAGCAGUUUCUACACGACCCUGAAACAGCUGACCCUGGCGCGAGACCAUGGCAUCGCGGUCACCGACAAAGGGAUGCCGUAUAACACAUCCCUAAACACUCUCAUGACGGCCGCCUCCGCCGUCAACGCGCGGCAGGACACAAAGCCCGAAACCCUGCCGUACAGAUGCUUGCUCCCCUUGACAGAGCUGGGCCUAGACAUGCACGCGGUCAUAGACAAGAACACAACACAACACCUCAUCACCACCACUGAUCUCCAGAAGCUUUUCCCCCGGGGCAAGGUGCAGCACCGGCACAAGAUCGCCUUGAAUCGACUAAGCCUAGCGAUAAGUGCCCAAUGCCCCCAAGCUCCACACACGAAGGCACAUGACCCACGUCGCUGGUCGUCCGCGCUGCCUCUGGAAGACAGACGCCUCCGCGAGAUCCCCAGUGACCCUCCGUACACCGGCCUCCGGCACAAAUCAAGUCUCCCCAACCCGAUACUAGCACCAUCCCUCGACCCACAUGCACGUCGUGACGCACCUGUCGUGUGGAGCACGACCACGGAGAAGCCACACCAUCCCCGCGCAGAGCCAGACGACAUGGAGAGUGACCCACCAGCGCCGCCGAGCCACCCUGCGGAACCAGC
rnacentral:lncRNA from 1 species